CGCGUAGGCGGGCAACCAAGUCCGAGGUGAAAUCCUCCAGCUUAACUGGAGAAGUGCCCCGGAUACUGGUGGCCUCGAGGAGGGUAGGGGCAUCUGGAACUAGCGGUGGAGCGGUGAAAUGCGUUGAUAUCGCUAGGAACUCCGGUGGCGAAGGCGAGGUGCUGGACCCUUUCUGACGCUGAGGCGCGAAAGCCAGGGGAGCGAACGGGAUUAGAUACCCCGGUAGUCCUGGCCCUAAACGAUGAGAACUAGAUAGCGGACUUGAUAUGAGUGCGCUGUCGGAGCAAAAGUGCUAAGUUCUCCGCCUGGGGAGUAUGGUCGCAAGGCUGAA
rnacentral:rRNA from 1 species